rnacentral:rRNA from 1 species
CAAUAGCGUAUAUUAAAGUUGUUGCAGUUAAAAAGCUCGUAGUUGGAUUUCUGGUGGGGCUGUCGGCCUGGCUCCGAAAGGGGUCGGUGCUUGAACACGCCUGGCCAUCCUCGGGGGAAGCUUUGCUGGCAUUAGGUUGUCGGCGGAGUGACGCUCGUCGUUUACUGUGAACAAAUUAGAGUGUUCAAAGCAGGCUUAGGCCGUUGAAUACAUUAGCAUGGAAUAAUGAGAUAGGACUUUGGUGGUCUAUUUUGUUGGUUUGCACGCCGAAGUAAUGAUUAAUAGGGGCGGUUGGGGGUAUUCGUAUUCAAUUGUCAGAGGUGAAAUUCUUGGAUUUAUGGAAGACGAACUACUGCGAAAGCAUUUACCAAGGAUGUUUUCAUUA